rnacentral:lncRNA from 1 species
CCAAACAAAAAGAAGUUUUGUGAACAGUAUGGAUGCCCUUAUGGAAUUCUGAUAUUCAAUCAGCAUUGCAAGCAUCACUUGUAUAAACAAUACACAUGUAUACUUAACUCAAUUGAAGGUGUUAUAGAUGCCUUCCCUGAGCUUCCAUUGGGUCUUUACGUGGUGCUUCCGAAGUCUUCAAUCUUCACACUAAAUGUAUUGGUUUGAACUUACCUAUUGAGAUGUAGCGGUUGACAAUUCACUAAUAUCUGCCUUGGAAUUGUUCAGUAGUUGCUAGUAGCCUCCCCCUUUAUUAGAUAUGCCAUCAUGACCUCCGCAACUACAUUUAGUGCCUCAUCCUCUUAGCAUACUCCCUGAUCAAAAUCUGACAAGAAGAGUAUAAUAACACAACAACCAAGCAGAAGAAGAAAAAUAUGAACAAAUUUAGCCAGUCAAUUAUUUUGAGCAUAAUAUAAACUUUAAUACUGCUAGGCAAUAUCAAGAAAUCACGCCCAACUUAGUCACUCUUAUAGCAAAUGGAACAUCUGGAUACAUACAUUAAGACAUAAGCAUUUAUACGUUUAUGCUACAAAAGCUUUAUGUCAAACUUAAGUAGAAAACUUAGACUAACAUUGAACUCCACAAUGGGAAGUAACACUAUAAUGCUUCAAAUGCAAAACAAAAAUAUACAAAGCACUGAAGAAAGUAAUUUGACAACAAAAGGACAUAAUAAUAGUUUUACUAUGGAAUGAAGCAAGAUGUGGUGGACCUGAAAAUUGUACUGUACGUACAAACCAACAAGUUAUGAAGACAUAUAAGCAUAUAAGAAAAAGGCAAACCAAAUAGGUCCAGAAAUUUCCAUCUCAUGUAAAUAAAUCCUUAAUGCUUCACGACCUUUUCAAAUACUCGCUAUUGCUUUCUGUCCAUCUAUAUUUGACACUAAAUUUAUGCUUCCUACUAAUUCUUACUAUUUAUCCAGAAAGUUUCAUUAGCGCCAACCUUACAAGUUUAAGAAAAAGGGUUGGUUUGAGAUUUAAAUAGUAUUAUCUAUAAGGACUUAUUUUUAAUUGUUAUAAAUUAGCUAUAUCUUCCAGGUAGCUAGCUAAUUUGGAUUCUUUUACAAAAACAAAUUUUAUUUCUAAAUCCCCUUCAAGAUAGUCUAGAUGAAUUCUCCGCAAAUUUAAGUAGGAUGGUGAGAUAGAAUAAGAAAUAAUUGUCCUGCCUCCUUUUUCUACCCCGAAAAUGGGUAUAUAAGAGAGUUUUUCCAAUUAAAGUGACAAUAAUCGAAAUGAGAUUAUUUAUCAAAUUAAGAGUCGCAACUUGACAUAAUUUAUGGUGUCCCAAGUCAUCAGUUUAAAAUCACGAAUCGAGGAAGUUUUGACUCUUUUUUAUGAUCUGUCAACACAGAAAUCCGGGUAAGAAAUUCUAUAAACCCGGGAGAAUGUGUUAGUCAACCCGGAUUAUGUGACUUUAGCACGGUCGCUCAACUAUUAAUAAUUGGCCUAAUUAUUUAAUUAGUUACACAUUUUAAACCUGUAUAUUUUUAACUUUCUAACAGCUUUUACUGUUUAUGGAAUUAUUCACUAUCAUCAUACACUUACGAACCGCGUCACACGAAAUGCACCAGCGAUUUAUGACAUAUUUAUUUCUAUUAUCAUUCUCCAAAAUCAUGGUAGGGUCACACAAAAUGCACAUCCGAAUUGAGAUUUACGUAUUGUGACCAUGCACAGAAAACGUACCCAUAAUCACGAUAAAUUAUUUAAUUACGCACCUAAAGCAAACUACGAUAUUCAUUUUUUUUAAGAUUAUUUGGCCACGUUAUGAAAUAUGGAAGUUAUGUAACUUACAAGAAUGAAUCCACAAUCAAAAAAAUAAGCAUACAUCAUGAGAAUCUCGGAUAGACUGGCCAACCAACACAUUUAUGAACAAUGCCACAAUAACUCUAGAAAGUUUACUAAACUAAUGGCUUGAAGCAAUCUAUUGCAGGAAUUUGCUGAACGGGAUAAAAUACACCAUUCAAAUUUACAACCAGUUGAAACUGGAACUUCAAUGAAAGUAAACUAAGAAGGAAAAUAAUCUGUUUCGUAAGCCAAGCCAUUAAAAUUUUGGGUCUAAAAUGCAAAUCAAAUAAUAUGGCAAAGAAAUAUUAAACAUAGAAUGUUCUUGAAAUUAGCUCUUCAGACUGAAAACGACAAUGCGGUAAACUCGGAAUCUUCACGUUGUACAUCUAAGAAUUAAAUUUCUAAUCAUUAUUAAGGAUAUUCAGAUCCCACUUUGUGGGACUAUACUGGGUAGUUGUUGUUGUAUUAAUGAUAUAUGGUUAAUGGUUGAAUCAAUGUUAUUACUUUAAAAAGUUUUAAGUACUAAGAUAAUUAAGUUACAAUUAAAACUAAGAUGCAUCACACUUCUAAACUUCUGAAAAUGUUCACAAAAAUAAGUCCAAAUGGACUUCAAAGCCUUGGCCUAACAGUGUCAUAUUAAAGUCUCUUUACCCCAGAUUAAUCACCAAUAACAAACUACCCAUUUUCAGCUUUUCGCAUAAUCAAAUCAAAAUAAGCAACUAAACAUUCAACAAUCCACCAAACAUGUUCAUUCUAGCCAUAGUUAAUUAUCAUUGUCUGUGAACUACACGAACAAAAAAAGCAAUUUCAGGAAACAGAACACAAUAACAUCGUAAACAUUAUUAAACCAAUCCGAAUUACAAAGUUGAUUUCGAACAGUACCGUAAGACGGAAGUGAAUCUGAAUACUUGAAAUUUUUACAGAUCUCUCAGCUCUAGCUAAGGAGAGCAGCUUGGACAAAUGCGGGUACAGAAACGGCAGCGCAAUCGAGCGGCGAAACCGGAAAUCGAACGAGGACAACUCCAAACUCAAGCAAACACCGUGAUUUUGAUAUCCCAAAAAUUGAAAUGAAAAAAGAAUGAAGAAACACAAGCUUUGAACAGAUUUCACACGAAAUCCAUUUUUUGAAACCAGAAAAUUGAUUCGUACGGAGAAAGCAACUUGCUCUCUCGUCCGUCUACUCCUAUUCCUUGGUCUGUGACUCUGUGUGCGUGUGAGUUCCUGGCCAGAAAAAACAGGGAGGGUGUGGGAGGAAAACGUGAAGGUAGGUGGGGUUGACAGUGGUCGCCGGUUUCCGCUCGUGUGGGUUUGGGCGGAGAUGAAGAAAGGGGGGUGACGGGCGCGAGUUAGGGUGCUGCUGGAGGAAGUAAUGUGGUAGGUUGCCGGCGAACUUGAGUGCUCCUAGGAAGUAGAGCUAUAAAGGGUCGUUUUCUUGAACAAAGAUUGUACUCCCU